CAGUGAGUGUGCGCAGUGCAGUGCAAGAAAAAAAUUUCAUGCUGCAGAACGCAGAUAUCGGCAACGAAUAUUUCCAUCUAAAAUGGAUGAAAAUACAGACUACAGACCCGGGAAUAGUCGUUUUUCAUAAACUUUUCAAAUUCAAUUUCAAUAUUUUUACGCAGUUCCUGACUCGAUCUGACUAAGAAUGCAGCAAGUGCAUUUGCGUGUAAGACAUCUGCGUCCCAGCGUGCUCGCCGCAAUUUUAGCUCCCCACGCCAGGGAAGCCGAGUGGAUGUAGCAACACCGAUUGCCCUUCCAACAAAGCUCUCUUGAAUGAGUGUUGUGACAAUCCGUGCGUUGUGAAAAUUCAUGCAUUGGACAACUCGAAUUCUCGACUCGAUUUACAAUCAUGUGCUUCUGAUCCACCUGGAUACAUCGGUGAUAUCGAUUCUGGCUGUACACCAGGUGUGAGAAAAAGCUCGUUACUGCUGAGGUUUGCGGACAACACAUUCAACAGUAGUUACCUAACGAUGAUAGAUGUUGACAUCAAAAUAAGGACUAUAGAGGUUAAAGGAGACAGGGUGAAGCUGUAGGUAUGGGACACCACAGGACAGGAGGAACUCAGGACAAUAACGUCAAUGUAAUACAGGGGUACGCAUGGCGUAAUAUCAUUGGUUACGACGUUACCAGAGGUGACUCGUUUGCAGAUGUCAAACGAUGGCUACACAAGAUUGACCACAACUGCAAUACAGUCAAUAGGGUUCUCGUGGAUAACAAAAUCGAUGCUUCUAACCAAAAAGUUGUACUGACCGAGGAUACUGAACGUUUUGCCACUCUUUGAGAGAACUCUUUGAGAUCUCUGCUAAAGGCAACAUCAAUGUUCAAGAGGCGAUCCAGAGUAAUUCGACGACGACGUCACUAUAACAGCGGCAGAGUUAUCGGCGACUCCAACGGCAAUGAGAACCGCGAGUGGUUGGACCGGUGGCUCAACGAGAUUCAAUCCAGAGCAAAAUGCAAAAGCCGCGACGACGGGGAAAAACGGAGCUCGAGGACGAGGGAGUUAUAGAAACAGGAGUCGGAGCGAGAGAAAACAAUACACGGAGACGACCUGAACGACGAGCCAACGAAUCCCAUUGUCGAGCGGAAAGACAGAGAGGAAAAAAAAUGAUAAAAAUGAUGCGAAGCACUAUGACACAUUACGAAAAAUGUAUUCACCUACGAGAAAGUCACCGAAAAUAAUACCGAUGGAUACUCCAGUUGAUGCGCAAGUGAUAGACGCGUCAGUGGGGGCAAUGGAAACUUGAGAUCGACAACUUUUUUCCUUUCGAUUCUAUGAAUAUGGAUUGAUCUGUAUUUUUCAAUAAACUUGUAAUUCAUCGUA
rnacentral:lncRNA from 1 species